UACGGAGGGUGCAAGCGUUAUCCGGAUUCACUGGGUUUAAAGGGUGCGUAGGUGGCUUGGUAAGUCAGUGGUGAAAGCCCGGAGCUCAACUCCGGAACUGCCAUUGAUACUGCUUAGCUUGAAUCAGGUCGAGGUGGAUGGAAUAUUACAUGUAGCGGUGAAAUGCUUAGAUAUGUAAUAGAACACCGAUUGCGAAGGCAGUUCACUAGGCCUGUAUUGACACUGAGGCACGAAAAGCGUGGGGGAUCAAACAGG
rnacentral:rRNA from 1 species